rnacentral:piRNA from 1 species
UAGUUAUGCCAAAACUUCAAA